GGGAGUAUGGCACAGUGGCAGAGUAUCUAUUUUGCAUGCAGAAGGUCCCAGGUUCAAGUACAGGCAUCUCCA
rnacentral:tRNA from 1 species